AUGGAAAUGUGCAUUUUCCAUGGUGUGGAUGGCUGGGUGAGGGCAUCCAGACACCCCCAGAGGCAGAGCAGACCCUGCUGGAAUGGGGUGAUCUCUCCUGGGAAUCUCACAGCUUUACAUCCAGGCCAGAUGCCCCAGGAUCCUGACUUUGCCCCUGCCAGAGCAGCAUUCCCUUCCCAUCCCGUGUGGCUGCAGGGAGUGCCAGCAGUGCCAGCCUGUUGUCCUACUCCAGCAGGAUUAAAUCCUCCACUGGAAUGGCAGAAAAUGUCAUCCUGGACCCCAACAACUUCAACAGGUAAAUGGCACAGUGCUCCUGCUCACCAGCACUGGGAUAUUCUUCGUGGUGAUGGAUGAAUGUUCAGGAGCAGUCAGGUAGGCAGCACUUUGACACAGUUACCUGUGAGAACUCUGCCCUUGCAGUAACUGAAAAUGUUCAGACAUCCAUAAAAGAGAGGUAAGAAAACUGCUGAGACUCCACUUCGUGUAGCAACCUGUGGCUGAUAGACAAAGAAAGGAAAAUGAUGUCAUUUCAUAACCAAACCUGUGCUCUGAGGAAAUCUAGCACAAAUUAAAAUGCACAAAUCCCAAGCAUCAGCCAGAUAAGAGGAGCAGCAUUUCUCUCUCAGGAUUGUACAGAUUAGAGCAGACAAACAGGUUUUCUAGAAAACUGGCAAUUUCUUCUAAAUAAGCCAGUCAUUUUCUAGCAUGGAGAGAUAAGAUCCUUGCAAUGACACUUGCACAUCCCCAUGCCCAGCCACUUCCUGGCAGCCAGUGAUUCAGUUUUCCAUUUUGGAAACAAGUCCAUUUCUGUUUAUUCUUGCUGAUUGUUUUUGUCUCCUGUGACAGAUGAAAACCAUAGGUGUGCCAGAUUUUCCAGUGUGAUUUUCUUGGGUGAGCCCGUGACUGGUCCUGCCUGCCUGCUGGCUCUCCUGCCUUGUGUGGGCCCUGGCCAUGGCCUGGACCAUCCCUGUUUAUGUCUGUCCCACAUUCCUUGUGGUUUUUCUGCUGCCACAUAAACAUGGAACAACAGAGAUGGACAGAUAUAUUCUUGGCUGCUGGCAGAAGCAGGUCAAGUAGCCAGAAAACAGAUUUUCAGUCCAAGGCAUUUCUGAGCAGUUCAUGGCCAGAGAUUUGAGCACUGCUGAGUUAUUACAUCUGCAUUUCUACCCAUGAGUGUGUGCACGUCUCAGAUGUGCAUGAAGGGACACAGAUCCAUGCAAUGUCUGUACAUUCAGGUUGUUUUCCUGGUAAGAUUUUGCAGUGAGGCAUUCAGGUAAAUGUAACCACUCCAUUCCCUGCAGGAACAACUCACUGGGGGCUGAAAGGACAUCUGUGAGACCAAAGAUUGAAGGCUGAUUGAGAAUCAGAGCCAGGAUAUAGAUGGUUUCAGAGUCUCAGCACUCCCAUAAGUCACAAAUGCACUCACAAUCAUUUGGGCUUGUUUUGAUUCCAUGUGAGGCACAGGUUGAAUCUAGGAUCAUUUAAAUGGAGGUUUAAACUUGGGAGAGCUUUCAUGGGAUUGAAAUUAAGGGGAUUUAGGUGUUCUUAAAGUCAAGCAUGCUCCUACAUACUCUUCUGUAUUGGAGCUUAAAGGUCUUGAAGAUCCUUAAUGAAGGAAUAUUUUGCAAUCAUGCAGUAAUUACUGUCCUUCUUUUCAGAUCACUUAUCCUUGUGUGCUCUAGAAAUAUCACAGACCUGCUGGUCUUGUCUGAAAUGUCAGUUUUUGUCAGGUUAGCUUCAGCAAAGCCUAUUAUCUUCCACAAGGGAGGUAAAUGUAUUUAUUCCAUCAUAUUUCUUUGGCUUUUUAUUGCUUUUCAUGUUUCUUUGGCUUUUAAUUAGGUUGGAAAGCCCAGAAGAAUUACUGCUGUGUAUCCCACCCCAAAAGGUACAGCAGUUAUACAGUGCUUAUCAAUAUUCUUCCCACCACAAUAUGCCAGUGUAACCCAGUGAAAACCUCUUGGCUUAGGGGUGGUGAGAAAGAGGAGAGUUAUCUCAGGAUUUUGACUCCACUUUGCCAGUGAGAUGUUGCAUGCUGCAAAUUUUCUAUCUUAAAGGGAGCUUGUUUUCCUAACAAAAAAAAAGAGAGAGAAUCAUUUGAUAAAGAUUCCAUCUUGAAAGUUCCAAUUCUUUGUAAGGAAAAACAGUCAUUACCUGAAAAGUUGAUGAAAGAGAAAGCAGUCUGCAGUGAAAUAAGAGCUAUUUAUUGUUUUGGAUAGAAGGAUGGUGAAAUCAAUAGUUUGGGAGAAUCCUUAUUGUAAUUUUACCUUGUAUUGCUGCAGGAAAUCCAUUGGUAUCAUUGGUCCAGAAAAUCCAUGCUGGGUUCCCUGCUGGAAAAGUAGAGGCUAAUGAGUCCAGGUUUGGAUGAAUAAUGUCAGUGAUAAGGAAAUCAAGAAAACAGCAACCUAACUUGAUGCAGGUUUCAGAGAUCAGAUGGAAAAUUGACUGCAUUUCCAGCUUCUUAUUUUUUGCAAUGGAGGAGAGGGAGCAGGUUGCAGGGGGUUGGGGACUUUCCCCCCAUUGCUUUACUGAAAUUCAUAUCAGUUUCUGGUUGAAAUUUCAAAGCUCAUUGCUAUGACCAUUCCAGGGGGGGACAACACGGUCUUUACUGCAAAGACAGGGAUAUCAUUUUGGUGCAUGUUUGAUUCAUGAGAAGCUGCUUCUUCUUUCAUCCUUUGAAAAGCAACAGUUUGAAUGUUUCCUUUUUUGCUUUUAUCUUGAAACUUUAUUGUUUCAUUCUUUCAUCAAAGCCCUGAAUACUUUUGAAAGGAAUUUUUUUAUUAAAAAGGAAUCUUCUUUUUUUGUUUGUUUGUUUGUUUUGCCAAACUUUGUUCCCUGAACCACCUGUGCCACCCUCUUGGCUGUUUUGGGAGCUUGGUUCAGGCAGGGCCAGCACCACCCUGGGGACACUGGUGGGGUUUUGUCCUGUCCCUGCCACCUUGGUGGCACGCUGGUGCUGGCAGUGGGGCUGAGCUGCUGCUGGCUGAUCCCAAGCUGCCCCUGCUUUGCUUUUCCUAAGGGCAGGGGUGCUCACCCAUGUGCCUGCCCUGGUUUCCAGUCUGGGGAAUCAUGUUCUGCUCAUGAGCCUCCUCCUGCUGCUUCAGGUAUUUGGGCUAUUUUGACUUCACAGCUCCAGGACUGCAUUUCAGGGCAGGCUGGAGCAUUUCUCCCAAGCACACAUUGCUUCUGCCAAGGAUAAUGCAAAAAAAAAAUAAUCCAAUCCUCUCGACCCCAGCGGGAUCAGGAUUUAGGGUCUUGUUUCCUGGUUUUGCAAAACUUUAUUUAAAUUAGGAGUGUUUACAGGAAUAGUCUCGAUCCAGCCAGCUGCAAAUAGCCUUGGGAGUCUUUGCAAUGAAAAACAUAAUAUAAACACAAGACAUUAUUAUUAAAAUGGAAGAAUACAUAAUGCCUUUGUACUUUGGGACAGCAGAGGACCAGAGCAGAGCUGACAUGAGGGAUAGUCAAGGCAUAACAGGAUGAAACAGAUGAAAACUAAUAAAAGAAGGAUUCAAAGUGUCUAACCGUUUUCA
rnacentral:lncRNA from 1 species